CAUCCGUCGGAUGACUGGUGGGCGCUUAGCGCCCCCUUUUGCUACUCGGGGCUGAAGGUGAAGCCUCCUCACCGCCUCGAGUGGCUUGCCGGAGGCGAUCUAUUUGUUGCUGCCGUGUUCCACCAGAGGGCAGGUUGAGGGCUUGUAGUCGCAGACCAAGCACCUCGGUAGACAGGCGAGAAAACUCAUCUCCUCCAGACAAACGCGAACGUUUAGGCAUAUUUACCCGAUUACAAAUGUUUCAAAUGUACCCGUAGCUUAUUCAGCGAAAGAGCGAAUGACUUUACUUUAGGUGUGGCGCUUUAUACAGGUAGAUAGCGACCAAUAAGAAUUAAGAACGUGUAUAGUAUCUCACGUGAAACAUAUUGAGUAAUACCUGUGCUAUCGUAGCAUGAUACGUGUACUCGUACGACCUUUGAGCCUGGCUCCGGCUCCAUUAACUGAAAUUACCGUCCCUAGUGGUUACGGUAAUUUUGGAUAAAAACAGUAAUAAAAAACACCUUGACACAUUCCUUUUUGUUUAUUCAUUUUACUAGAAUGAGAAGCUUUCUAUGGUCUGGUUAUAAGCCAUUAUUAGACACGAUCAACACCUCUCUUGACCAGUAGCGAACGCUGGUCUUAGAAGUGUUAAAAGUAUUAUUUAUAUGGUUGUUUCUGAUAUUGCUAUUACGAAUUCAAAACUGAGCUCUCAAAGAGAGAACCGACACGGAGGCGAACUUUACUCUCUGAGACAGCCCCAGGGAAGACGAGACGGGAAACAAGAUCAUAAGCAAAGAUGGAAAGCGAUGACAGUCACAUCAUCUGAAGAAUUAUCCAGCUGUUCUACCUUAUAAAAGCAUUAAACAAGAGUUUAACAA